rnacentral:rRNA from 1 species
CCCUUAGAUGUCCUGGGCCGCACGCGCGUUACACUGAUGCAUUCAACGAGCUUAUAACCUUGGCCGAGAGGCCUGGGCAAUCUUGUUAACGUGCAUCGUGAUAGGGAUAGAUUAUUGAAAUUAUUAAUCUUGAACGAGGAAUUCCUAGUAAACGCAGAUCAUCAAUCUGCAUUGAUUACGUCCCUGCCCUUUGUACACACCGCCCGUCGCACCUACCGAUUGGAUGGUCCGGUGAAGUCUCGGGAUUGUGGUUCUUGCCGCUUUAUUGUAGCGUGACCGCGAGAACUUGUCUAAACCUUAUCAUCUAGAGGAAGGUGAAGUCGUAACA